rnacentral:rRNA from 1 species
ACGUAGGGUGCAAGCGUUGUUCGGAAUUACUGGGCGUAAAGGGGGAGUAGGCGGAAAGAAAAGUCAGAUGUGAAAGCCCUGUGCUUAACGCAGGAAGAGCAUUUGAAACUAUCUAACUAGAGUGUAUUAUGGGAGCGUGGAAUUCCUAGUGUAGCGGUGAAAUGCGUAGAUAUUAGGAGGAAGACUCGUGGCGAAGGCGACGCUCUGGGGUAACACUGACGCUGAGGACCGAAAGCAUGGGGAGCAAACAG